GAUUAUGGCUCAGGAUGAACGCUGGCGGCGUGCCUAACACAUGCAAGUCGAACGGACCUUUAUGGACCGCGAUCGUCAAAGAAAUUAAGGUUAGUGGCGGACGGGUGAGUAACGCGUGGGUAACCUGCCUCAUAGAGGGGGAUAACAGUUGGAAACGACUGCUAAUACCGCAUAAGCCCACAGGACCGCAUGGUCCAGGGGGAAAAGAUUCAUCGCUAUGAGAUGGACCCGCGUCUGAUUAGUUAGUUGGCGGUGUAACGGACCACCAAGACGACGAUCAGUAGCCGGACUGAGAGGUUGAACGGCCACAUUGGGACUGAGACACGGCCCAAACUCCUACGGGAGGCAGCAGUGGGGAAUAUUGCACAAUGGGGGAAACCCUGAUGCAGCGACGCCGCGUGGGUGAAGAAGUUUUUCGGAAUGUAAAGCCCUAUCAGCAGGGAAGAAAAUGACGGUACCUGACUAAGAAGCCCCGGCUAACUACGUGCCAGCCGCCGC
rnacentral:rRNA from 1 species